rnacentral:rRNA from 1 species
UACGUAGGGAGCGAGCGUUGUCCGGAUUCAUUGGGCGUAAAGAGCUCGUAGGCGGCUUGGCAAGUCGGGUGUGAAAACUCCAGGCUCAACCUGGAGACGCCACCCGAUACUGCCAUGGCUAGAGUCCGGUAGGGGACCACGGAAUUCCUGGUGUAGCGGUGAAAUGCGUAGAUAUCAGGAGGAACACCUGCGGUGUAGACGGCUUUCUGGACCAUUGUUGACGCUGAGACACGAAAGCGUGGGUAGCAAACAGG